GAUGUAAUCCGAUCUUUUGAAAAUGAAAUGAAACUUUUUAUUUAAAUUUUUUUGUUUUAUUAUUGCAUUAGUUAUUUUUCGAUCUCUGAUAUGUGUAUCCGAUCGAAUCCCUAAGUGAAUCAUCAUUAGCCAAUCCGUGGUUUUGGAAGUUUGUUCAAUCCGAAGACCUUGGCUAACCGAUCUCAUUUAUUUGAUUUUUAUCAUGUUUCUGAAACAUUCUUGCGAUGUGUCAAGGAAGCGGCUGGUUCCGCUAACCGAUGCGUCGCUUGGGACUUCACGAGCAUUUAAUGCUCAAACGGGUAUAAAUAGGGGAAAGGUGAGUCAAUUGUUUCCUUAUGUCAUUUCAGAACUUGCCUAACAAUCUUAGCAUUUUCUCUCAUUUUCUCAAGUUUUCAGGCGCUGAUCACACUCCGGUAAGGGUUUUGAUUCUUUUCUUGGUUAAUUUCUUUUUGUUUUUCUGAAAAUGAGCGGUGUCGAAGGUCUGCAAGCUCGCCUUCCAUCCAUAUUUCAUGGACCUCGGAAGAAGGCGAUGCGACUGGGCCAAGUGGACGAUCUGAACCCGUAAUGGACAUCAUCUCGAUCUCUACAAGCACAAGCUUCGACCAUGAGGAAAGAAAAUCUACUUGUGGAUGAACUGUCGUCGGUACUCGAGGAAGCCGAUCUCCACUCUAUUAGCCAAGAAUAUAACCUCCGGAUCGACUCUUUCGAGCUAAUUAGAUGCUAUGAGGGUCUUCGAGCCGAUCACUUCUUUAACGAAACCGAUCGGAUCAUGGUGUAUGAAGAGCAAUUAAAAGCCAGGUUUCGGUUUCCCUUGGAUGAAUUUUAUAAAGACGUUCUGAAUUUCCACCGAGUCAGCAUAGCUCAAGUGCACCCGAAUUCUAGGCGAACUAUGGUGGCCUUUAGAGGUCUUUGCCGGGCUAAGAGACUUGAGCCAACAGUUAAGGUUUUUGCUGAACUACAUACGCUUGCUUGGCGAAAAAACGAUGAGUAUUGGUUUUUCCAAGCCAAGCAGCACUGUGGGUUUUUUACCGUUCUCCCUUCUUCAUUGAAGAAUUGAAAAAAUCGGUUCUUCAUUUUGAGGAGCAAGAUUCAGAACGGCUUUGAGGGUAUCCCACGGAGUUGGCAUCAUCUGGUCACUCCGAUCCCAAAAAAGAUCGCCUUAAAUAAGGACGAAGACGCCGUGGUGAAAGAGUUAAAGUCUCAGGCGUCCACCCAGAAAUUCUCCUGCUUAGACGCGGUGAUGGCCGAACUGAAGUAUUGGAUGAUGCGGCUGAUCACUGACGAAGAAUACGAGCUUCAGCUCUCUAACCUCGACCCUGAUACUACCCAUAUCUCUGGUCUCUGAAUCUUAGCGAACUCACUGACUUUCUUUUUCGUGCAGGUAUGGCGGGCGGUGAUGCUUCCAAGGAGAGCCACAAACGA
rnacentral:misc_RNA from 1 species